CACGUAGUUAGCCGGCGCUUCUUAUCCAGCUACCGUCAACCAGGCGAAUAAGGCCUGGCCUGCUUUCACUGGCGAAAGAGGUUUACAACCCGAAGGCCUUCAUCCCUCACGCGGCGUCGCUGCAUCAGGCUUGCGCCCAUUGUGCAAUAUUCCCCACUGCUGCCUCCCGUAGGAGUCUGGGCCGUGUCUCAGUCCCAGUGUGACCGUCCACCCUCUCAGGCCGGCUACCCGUCAAAGCCUUGGUAGGCCAUCACCCCACCAACAAGCUGAUAGGCCGCGAGCCCAUCCCCCCACCAGAAAAACCAUUUUCCAGACCCCCACCACUGCGGCAGGACCUGAACUAUCCCGUAUUAGCUACCGUUUCCGGCAGUUAUCCAGGAGAAGGGGGUCAGGUUACUCACGUGUUACUCACCCGUUCGCCACUCAUCCACCCCAGCAAGCUGGGGCUUCACCGUUCGACUUGCAUGUGUUAACGCACGCCGCCAGCGUCGUCUCGUGCACGAGUCAACGUACU
rnacentral:rRNA from 1 species